rnacentral:rRNA from 1 species
ACUAAGCGGAGGAAAAGAAACCAACGGGGAUUCCCCCAGUAGCGGCGAGCGAAGCGGGAUAAGCCCAGCACCGAAUCGCCCGCGUCUUGUUGACGGCGCGGUUUUGCGACAUGUGGUGUGUGGGAGCGCCUUUGGGUUGCGUUUGUAAGCCGCGUCCAAGUCCUCGUGAGCGAGGCAUCGGUCCCAUAGCGGGUGGAAGGCCCGUGGCGACGCGCGAGCGCUUCCMUCUGAGCCGCUCCUCGGAGUCGGGUUGUUUGUGAAUGCAGCCCAAAGUGGGUGGUAAACUCCAUCUAAGGCUAAAUACGGGCGCGAGGCCGAUAGCGAACAAGUACCGUGAGGGAAAGU